rnacentral:rRNA from 1 species
GCGAAAGUCACCUUCGGGUGGCGAUUAGAGUGGCGGACGGGUGAGUACAACGUGGGUAACCUGCCCCCGAAUGGGGAAUAACCCUUCGAAAGGAGGGCUAAUACCGCAUAAUAUUCCUUUCACACAAGUGAUUGGAAUCAAAGGUGGCCUCUGCUUGCAAGCUGCCGUUUGGGGAGGGGCUCACGCCCCAUUAGCUAGUUGGUGAGGUAACGGCUCACCAAGGCUGCGAUGGGUAGCCGACCUGAGAGGGUGAUCGGUCACACUGGGACUGAGACACGGCCCAGACUCCUACGGGAGGCAGCAGUGAGGAAUUUUCCGCAAUGGGCGAAAGCCUGACGGAGCGACGCCGCGUGCGCGAUGAAGGCCUUCGGGUCGUAAAGCGCUGUCGGAGGGGAAGAAAAGUCCUGGGAUUAAUACCCCCGGGAAUUGACGGUACCCUUCAAGGAAGCCCCGGCUAACUCCGUGCCAGCAGCCGCGGUAAUACGGGGGGGGCUAGCGUUGCUCGGAAUUAUUGGGCGUAAAGGGCUCGUAGGCGGCCCGCUAAGUUGGUUGUGAAAUCCCUCGGCUCAACCGAGGAAUUGCGACCAAUACUGGAGGGCUUGAGUGCGGGAGAGGAGAGCGGAAUUCCCAGUGUAGCGGUGAAAUGCGUAGAUAUUGGGAGGAACACCGGUGGCGAAGGCGGCUCUCUGGACCGCAACUGACGCUGAGGAGCGAAAGCUAGGGGAGCAAACAGGAUUAGAUACCCUGGUAGUCCUAGCUGUAAACGAUGGGCACUUGGUGUAGCGGGUGUCGAUCCCUGCU